UUUGCAGACACACGGAAGUAAUCUGAAUUAUGUUAAGAUAUGCAAAUAGUUUUCUAUGGAAACUAGAAAAAGCUGCAAACUUUAAAUCCCAGAUGGAGUCCUUAUUAAGGAAACCUCAUACUUCUGAAAAUCCUAUUUCUCCAUCUGCUUGUAAUAUCUUUCAAGUGUCUCUCUAUAUAAUUGUACUGAUGAUUUCUCUGGGUCACAUUCUUUACUGUUUAUUACAUAAUUCCACUCCUUCCCCAAAAAUGCAAACAUUCACCUUAUCAGUCAGCAAGGACUAAAUUCAAUUUCUUUGCUGAUCUGAGCAGGAGAAAGUGAUAUAUUUGCGGCACUGCGGCAAAAAUUCCACCAAGGGAGCGUGCAGCUGGAAACUCACUUCUUCCUCAAACUCUCUGCAGAGAGAAGUAUUGUUCUGGGGACCCUGUCCCAUCCUUGUGGUCUGACUCAUUCUGACUAACUGAGUUUGAGAAAGCAUCAGCUAUACUCCUUUCUGGGAAACUGCAAAGGAACAAUCAUGCUCCAAAUAAAUACAAAUAAGUGAGCGGCAAGCAUCUGGGAAAAAGCAGUUUAGAGAAGUGAGAAAUUAUUUAUUGUCAUCCAGUACUCAGCUACAGAAUAAUUCUGGUUGUUAUCUUAUUUUUCUUUCCUGACCAAGGGAAUUAAGUUUAUAAGUUGUGAACCCAAGCUCAGUACAGGAUUUCAGAAAAUGAGAGGACACAUUUGGUUAAAUUUGUAUUUCAAACUGUUGUUUAGAGGUUUUUAUCCAGCCAUUUCAGUUUAAGAAUGCAAUCAAUUUCAUUGACUUCAGUACAUUCUUCAAGUGCAUUAGCUUAAGCCUUGGCUGAUUUACUUGGAGAAAUGUUAUGUUUUUUCAAACAACAUUCUUGCUUCUCUAUUUAUUUGCUUGCAUGUUCCUGAGAAGAUGAUACAAAAAACAGAGGUUCAUCCUCCUGAUAUUAAAAAACCCAAAUCAGUACCUACUAGAAACUACUUGCACUAGGUGACAACUUUUGAUAGGGAACGUUACAGACCUGUGGAAAUAAAAUAACUGCACCUGCCCUGAGCACGGCGAUAGAAGGAGGGUGCCAGCUGCUAAGGAGCCCUCAGCUUUUCCAGCUUUCAUAGGGUGCACGCAGGAGGUGCUGGCUGUUCACUGGGGAUCCCCCACUUGGAACUGUAGGUCGAGAUACUGUAUUUUUCUGGGUAUAAAAGCUGUAUUUCACAGUAAUGUUGUAAAGCCUGCAACCUCUGUAGUAGACAGAUGGUGUCAGUCUUGUAUUGAAGCUUUAUAAUUACUCUCCCCUGGUGCUCACUAGAACAUAAUAAAUUCGACUGUUCAGAUUUUUUUUUUUCACCUGUACUUGCCUAACGGAAAAAAAAAAAAAAAAAAAGAAAAAAAGAAAAAGAAAAAAAGAAAAGGAAGUGACUUGCCAAAAUCUGCUGUGAGCAGGUCACACAGACUGUCCUUGAAUUGCAGUUAGCUUUUGCAGACCAGAGUGCAAAAUCCGCAUUUCCUUAAAACUGAGAGCUCUUCUCUGAAAAAUUGCCUGAUCUGUCUGUCUUGAUUUCUUUGUCAGAAUGACCGACUCUUGCAGAAAUGCUUCUUAUCAGAGAGAGACACAGAAAAUAAAGAGUGCCUGCAAGACUUUAAAUGGACGAAACCUGCCCAGAAUUGGAAAAAAACAACAGCAGUGAAUGACAGAUCAUUUUAAGGCAGGCACCACUACCAAUAAAAAGAAUUCUCAUAAUAUGCAGAGCUACAACACAUUGCUGAAAUGAUAAUUAUUAUAUAAUCCAUUACUUAAUGCAAACAUUAUGAGCUUUUGGAUGAGCUGUAAAACCAAGUUCUUGGCCACGCUUAACCUUCAGAAGUGCUUUGGCACUUUGGCCAAGAGCUGGGGUGUUAACAAAAGGGCUCUGUCCAAAUUCCAUUUUGGUAACUGUAUUUUGCUUAACUGACAUUUGCAUGUAAUUUAGUUCUUAUAGUUAGAUACAUUAUUAUUCCUUGCUUGUCUCACACUGCAGUACAAAGCUGCUGUAUUAAGGGUUAGUGCUGUCUUGCCAGGGGUUUUGAUAAUCCAGAGACCAGCAAAGGGGUUCCUGUUAGUACCAGAACAGGGCUUGUGGUCAGUGUUUUGGAAGUUUGGAGUGAAAGUGCUCUAUAAAUAAAUGUCCAUAACCAAAACUCUGUUUCAAAUAUCACAGAUACCUUGGAAGCCUUGGUAUUUGCUGGUGAUGCUGAACCCCCGAGACUGUUGACAAUGUUAAGGGAGUUGGUUAGCAUCCCUGCUGAGCCCUGAACAAAUGAAAAAAGAGCACUGUGUAAUUUUGAGAGCCUUAUAAUUGCCACGUGAACUUCCAGGAUGGCUGGACCUUUACAAAGAUAUAAUGAAGGUGUUUUUAUUUUGAAACAGUGGACAUGUUUUUAUCAUGAAUUUCUUUGAUUAUUUUUGGAAGACAAGCUAAUGGACAUGAAUUUUGCUUGGUGUUUACACAAAAAAACAAAAAAAGAAGAUCAUCCUCGCUUUUACUAAGCAACUUCUUGUGGUAGUGGUGCAAGAGAUUUUAAGGUGUUUUUUUUCAGUUGCUUCUUUAUAUUUCUCCUAAUGGAUGGUUUUUCCCAUCUUCUAAUCAUGAUUGAGCAAAAAAAUCAUGAACCAAUAGGCUCAAUAUUUUUUUUUCCUGACAUCUGAAAAGGAUGGAAGAAAUAGCGUACUCACCACCAAGCGAUCAUACUGCCACUUACCACCUUAUCUUGUUGGUGAAGUCAGCACAGGAAAACUUUGCAGAAGAGGCCUCCUUUGCCAUUCACAAGAUGCAACAUGUAUGCAAGUGAUGAUGCAUCGUAUCACAUCCAAAAAUCAGCUGUGGUGGAGGAGCUGUAAUUUUGCAGAUUUCCAUGAGAAGAUGAAUCACAAUGGACUUGCUCAUGACAAAUUGCUGGGCUACAGAGCUGCGGGAAUCUGGCCACAUUACAGAGCACAGUGCCAAACCAAUUCUAGCCCAAACCAGAUGUACUGCCACUGCAGAAGACCUGACCAGAAAGAAGAAAAGAAAAAAAGGUAUGACAUUUUGCAUCAUGAAAUUAGCAGCCCAUUGGUUCAUCAUCCAUGUCUGGAACUACAGCUCUGCCUUUCAGUUGUGUUGCUGGAGAAGUGGAUCACACACCUCCUGAAAAAGCAGUGCAAAAUUGGAUGAAAUAAUGCAGUGAAACGAGUGAAUAGUAAGUCUGUAUUAGUGAGUAUUGUUUCCUCUGGUAACUGGUCUGGCCCAUGGGAAUACUGAGUUCCCAGUGAUCCCUGUGAACAUCAUACCUCUCUGUCUCCCUAAAGAACACCCACAAAUUCCUUAAGCCAGAUAAAUAAAAGGAAGUAAAGCACAUAACAAUAAAGUACUUGGCCUCAUUACUGUAUACCUUAACUCACUGUUAGGCAUUCAAAUGCUGUGGAGAGACUUCCAAAACCACUAGUAUGCUGAGUGUACUGCAUACUGCAGGGCAUGCUGAGGAUGGGAUCAUGUCUAAAUCCAGAUGCUUAUUCUGCUUUUAUAGAAAUACACACAAAUUUGCUCUGGAGAUAAACAUUUUUCUUUCUACACAUGCAUGGAAGAGGAGGCGUAACAACAAUUAACUACAGCUUUAGUCCAGAGAGUUGAAGACUUUAGUUGUAUUGUGUCAGUAGUUUGUGGUGGUUUGAACUUCCACUUCUCUAGCGAAAGGCUUUUCUGUAGCUUGCUGCCUGUGGUAUAAGGAAAUGUUUUGCCUUGAACCCAGUGAUAUGUUUAGUCUGAGGAAGCUUAAUGUUAGAGGAAGUGGUUGGGAUUUAGGCAUCCCUCUCCCCUUGGGAGUAGGUAUUACUGAGACUGAGAAAUCAAAUUCCACCAACAUCUGAGUCUUAGAGUGUAGUAGACUUUCCUUAGCUCACAGACUCUAGGAGAGCUGGGCCCUGCUGAUACCAAGAAGGGUCAUCAUUUAGCAAUUGUCCACCCAAAAAACGACAGCAAAAAAUCCAAUCACAAGCCACAUGGCAAGAAGAAUUUUAUAUAAGUGAUAAGUCUCACUUCAGCAUGUUCCAGUAGGGUUUGUGAGUGGAUGACUCUGACCAUUUCUUUCAUAGGAAUCAUCUUUAGUGUUUACACAACUGUUUGUUUUAUGCACCUUGUUUUUCACACUUAUUGGUAAAGUUUAAUAAUAGUAUGCUGUAAGAGUGCAUGGAAAAUCUGAUUACUGAAAUUUCUUACUCAAGCAAAUUUUAGCUUUUAAAAAAGAAUUGUCUUUUCAGGGCUUUGUCAUAAAUGUUUUUCUCCUUUUCAAAGUGAGGGUGAUAUUAUUACCUAGUAAAACCAGAAAGUGGGACAAAAUGCUGUGCAACUGAAAAAUGAGAUUAUGAGUCUCUAGGAAAACUCAAUGUUUUCCUGUCUUUCUGUGUUGUGGUUAGACAGGAAGGCUGGUGGGCAGGUAUAUUUUCAUCAGGAAGGUAUAUUUCCAUCAUAGUCUCUGUGAUGCUCAUAUUAACAAUCACGAGAUCAUUAAAAUUAGAAUGGUGAGAGAAAUCAGAGCAUUACUCUUCAUGUUGACCAUGGAGCUGCUGCUUACAAAACAAAUACUCUGUCCUAAUAGACCAUUAGGUACACCAGAAGGCAACCAUAGUAAGAUUUGCAGAACAGACAGGCAACAGUAUUGCUCUUAAACCAAAUGUGAGCAAGGGUAAGAAACCUGAGUACAGAUAGGAGCAAACAGCUGAAUAACCAAGAAGAAAGGAAAAUGAAACAACACAAAAACAAGGAUGUGGAAGUAUUAUUCGGUGUAUAUUUAGUGUAAGUCUCAGUGCAAAUCACUUGGCUUAUAAUGGAGGUUGGCAAACCUUCUAAAUUAUGAACCAGAGUAUUCAAGACACCCUUUGUAAUUAUUUCCAUCAAUACUAAAGAGAUACUAGAGUGACAUUGCUCUGUCUGAUAAAUGUGGAUAAUUCUUAAAGGAAUAUUGUUUAUCUGGAAACUUGUUAAAAAGUAUUUCUGCUUUUUAGUUGUGUGUUGUUGCUUAUAACUGAAAAAGUCCUCAUUUAAAAAAAAUACGGAUCAAAACUCAUUUUAAGUUAUGCAAACACUGUUUCUGUCAUUUGAGUUCAUGUAACAAAAAUCGAUUCUGAAUUUUUUGGCAGAAACCCAGAAAUAAUUACUUGAGUUUUACACACACAUUUUCAAGAGUCUUAUCUGGCAUCCAUAAAUAUCAGUGGAAAUUUAAUUUUUGCAUGAAAUUGUAUUACACUGUAUCCAUGUAAUAUUUUAAAACAUGCCAAAGGCUGUUGGAGUGCAUUUUACGACUUUUUGGCAAUACUGCCAAUCUCAAUAAAAUUAAAAAAAGAAAAUACGGAACCAUAUUGGAGGCUGUUUUCAAUAACAAAAAGUUGUUGUCAGCUUGUUGUGGAAGAUCCUGUGGAAAAACAUGAGCAAUGCUUUUCAAGUGGUUACUGAGUUUGAAGUUUUAGUAGGUACUGAGGGUUCAAAUUCAGAUCCAAACUUAGUGAUGCAGAAUCAGCUUUGCCAUAAAUUCAAGUAUACCAAGGUCCAAGAAGGUUUAGUCCUAAUUCUAAAUAUCAGAAUGAAGGUGCAUCUUUAAGCUUGAUAAAGCUCCUAAGGUCUGGUUAACAUUGCGCAGUGCUGUCGAGAGGGAGUGACUUCAUAAAAUGCACUAAUAGAAAAAGGUAAACUGAAUGAGCUAACAUAAAAUCAGUGUAAUGGCAAGAGAAUUGGGUGCUUUUUUACAUGAAGGUUUAAAUAAUUCAUUUUCUUCUUCUUCCAUUUUUGACAUCUCAGCCCAGCUCAGGCAAAAGUGUGGGCUGAGAAGACAGCUACACUAGGUAGGCAGCCAAUUAGAACAAACUUUCAUAAAAGAGCAGGAUGAUUUUUCAGGACAGGCGUCGUUUUUUCUGAGCACCAAUAUAACUUCCUAAAUGUCUCACAGAUGCAGACUGAAAGAAAUUGCAUCCCCCUUCCAGUAAAAAUAUCUUAGCCACCUCAAAGAAGAGACCAUCUGGAGGCUUACUCACUUUGGGGGAUGCUGAUUUAAUUGAGUGAAAGUCCAAAUAACUCUUUAGGAAAGACAUGCUGAGGAACAGCAUGAUUUAAAGUAAUGUAUCUCCAAAAGAAUUUGCUUAAGUAUUAUUAUUACCUAAUCAGCUGUAUUAUCACCAUACUUGGGAAGCCUAGUCAUAGACCAGAGAUCAUUUUGAAGGACUGUAAAAAGGAAUUUAAUGAGUGCUGUUAUUUGUAUUACACUAAAAAGUCUGUCAAAAUCCUGUAAUGUUUCAAAAAUAAAAUCAAUACUGUUAGUUACAUUUUGCCCUGGCAGCCCCAUUUUCAGACUAGUUUAAGGUAGCUUUCAGGCAGUUUAAGAAAUGUUUAAGCUUAUUUUCAUGUAGUUUAAGAAAAUAAUAUUCACAAAGCCUCUGAAAUGAUCUCUGAAUUAACAUAUAUGACUCCCAUUAAAAUCAGCUGAAAGUUUCCAACCAAAUUUCUAUAUGCUGGUUUGAAAACCAAAGGGCUUCUUUGAAAACCAGAAGGCUGAAAAGUCACAGUAUUACAGAUUUUUAUCCACAUGAUUUUCAUUAAGUUUAAUGUAAGUCAUACAGGCAAACAAAAUGUUUCUAAGAGGGGUUGGAGGAUGAAACAUACAUCAGGCCAACCAUUGGUCAAUGCUGGGGCCGAUACCUCUUAGUCCCUUCAUUAAGAAUCUGGAUGAUGGGACAGGAUUCACCCUCAGCAAGUCUUCAGAUGAUACAAAACUGGGAGGAGUGGUUAAUAGACUAGGUGGAUGUUCUGCUAUCAGAGGGACCUCACCUGGUGAAAGAAAUGGACCAAAAGGAACCUAACGAACUUCUGGAAUGGGGAAAUGCCAAAUCCUGUACCUAGAAAGAAAAAGCCCAAGUACCAGCACAGACUGGAGGCUGACCAACUGGAAAACAGAUUGGCAGAAAGUCUCAGGUGUCCUUAUAGAUACCAAGCUGAUCGUGAGUCAUCUAUGUGUCCUGGGAACAAAGCAGGACCUGGGCUGCAUUAGGCAGAGUGGUGCCAGCAGAUUAAGGGAUGAUUGCCAGCUUUUCAAGUGAAGAGGUAAAUGAACAUGAACACCCUCGUGUUCAAAGAGGUGACUCCAUCUGCCUGGAGGAGAGUCUGAGCUGUGACUGAAAUGGGCAGCACAGACAUCCACCCAAGAUCCUUGGGAAUAACAUGAGAUUACCAGUUCUCUGGUUUGUAGCUUUCCUGGCCGUGUUUCUCCUGGCUUUGCUGGUUGAUGUUGGGAACUGCUCUGCCUUUUCAGACCUGUCUACAUGUUCAGAGAUAUAUUUGGCUGAUGAGUUUUGACAGUUUUUCUACUUCAAAGUGGCGACACUGUGUUGAGGGGGAGCUGAGAUCCUUCAGUUCAGAAAUCUCCAGUACCAUUUAGACAAUUUACAGAUCAUUCCUCAGAUUUCUGUCUUCAGCCUGGAAUCUCAUCAGCCCUGAGUACUGUAGAUCCCUUGUGCUUGCAAUCUCUGUGCCAAGAACUGACAGUGUAGGAGACAGACGACUGUCUUCAGAAGACAGCCUUCUCACUGACUGCUAGGGCAGGAUCUAUGCUUUGAAUUUUUUUUCUGCUUGGCCCCUGCUAUUGCCACCUUGGCUUUUUGCGUAGUAUGAAAGGAGUAAAUUUUACCAUGUCACCUAUUAUACAUAUUCUGUUUUUCUAGCCUGAGACUUCUCUUUGCCCUUUGAUUUUUUUCUUUGCGCAACAAUUCCUCUUUCGUUUGUUUUACUCUGGGUAAGUUGAAUUGAUCCUCUCCUAUUGACUGGAGAUUUUUACAUCUCAAACCUCAGCCGUCCUCUAAGCCCUCCCUUCCCUCAUUGUUACAGUGGAAUUACUUAUCUACAUCUAUUUACUCUUUGAUUCUAGUGGAGCUGGGAAUGUUAAAAACUGGACAGAUUGGGUCAUUUCCAAUUCAUGUGAACUUCAAAUAAAUGAAAUUUAAAAACCUAAAUAUAUUUCAGGGUCUAUGUCUUAUAGCUUCUGGGUGAUAUCUGUAACUGGAUUAGGAAAACAGCCUUAAAAGUAUAUUGUGGUGUCAAAUUGUAUUUUUAAAAAAAAAAAAAAGUUUCAUCCCACAGAUUGUAAUAGCCUAGCAGUUAGCAUAAUUGGGAAUUAAUGGAGAAAAGUUCAGUUCUCUUUGCUGCCUGAGAAUGUCAAAACCAAGGAUAGGCAUCAGCUCCUAAUGGUUGCUGUGAGUAGGACUCUUUCUUACAUUAAAAUUGCUGCAAAGAAAAUCAAUAAUAUUUUUCCCAGUGAGAGAAGACUAACUCUGUAAAAUGGAUUAGAGCUUCCAAAUGGGGGAGGAGAGCUUAGACUGGGCCCAGUAGCUGAAAUCCCUCUAUUACUGGAUUGUUUUCUGCAGCAAUCUGAAAGCAAAGCCAAUUUUGCUCUAGACUUUUAGGUUUUGCAGCCUUCUAGUCUUUCCAAGAUUGGCCUGUUCAAAAGGAGAAAUCGCUCAACUCCAGACACAUAUGGCUCAUAGUACCUUUGCUUCUCCCUUUUGUAUUCUUCCGAUCAUUGAUUUGUCUUUUUAUUACUUGAAUACUUUCAAGAAAGAACUGUGAUGUCUCCUGUGUCCUGUACACAGCCUACUACACAGUCAGUAUGGUGGGAAACAAGCAGAACUAAGAAUACAUCUCAGAAAAAAUCAAAGCACAGCGUAUCUGAGGUCCACAGGUGCACCCUCCUUUUCCUCAGCCUGGCUCCCUCACAAACUGGAAAAUUGCUGCUGUGUCCAUGUGCUCUGCUGGAUGGAUGCAGUCCUAGUCUGUAGAACCAUUUAGAGCAUAAUAAACACCUUCCAAAGAAAACCUGGAUACACAGGUGGGAGGUUACAUAGCAAGGUCUUAUCUUGACCUGAAGACCAGAAACAAGGAAGUACUAUCCUUCCAUCUAAACUCAAAAUUGUAUUUUACUGAUGGACUAGUGAAGCCAAAGAGCUGUGUCACCUGUCAAGAUGUCUCUUCAGGUGCAUUGAAUGGCUGCAAUUUAAAGGACAGGUAUUUUUCUUCUUUAAGCUUGCACAGAAUUUGUAAAACCUAUAACAGUGGCAAAUCAUUUAUAGAUUGAGAAGGAAAGAAGGAAGGAAACCACUCCAAAAAAACAAGCAAAGUCAAGUGGCAGAGCAAGAAGCAGGUGGGAAUGAGGGAGAGGGAGCAGUGAGAGUGAAAAGACAUCAGAGAGGGAAAAUUAUACAUCAAAAAGCAGGGGUGAAUUGAGGAAGGAGGAAAUGGGGAGGAGGUGCUUGCAGAAAAGGAGAAAGGGAGAUGGAAACAAACAGAGAAGGAUAGUAGGGUAUCUGGAACAUGAAAGGAGAAGAGGAAAAUGAAGGAAGAAGGUGACCAAAGGGAAAGAAAGAAAGAAGAAAUACGUGCUGGAGGCCGACCAAAGGAAUGAGAGAAUCUUGAAGCAAGUGGAUGUAUGGAGAGAAGGAGGCAAUCACAGGAAAAGAAGGGGUGUAAAAUGAGAAAGUGAGCAAUGGAAGCAUGAAGAGAGGAAGAAGAAAAAAGGUGUCGUGAAACAGAGCCUCUACAUCACUUGGUGGACUUCCAGAUGUCAGAAUUAAGCCUCUCCACUGAAGUUCUGUCCUUGGUCACAGCAUGAGAUUGGGAUCAUGGUCAACUGGUGCCAGAUUCAGCUGUUUCAGAAACACAUGACAGGGAAGACCAAAGGGUCAGGAUUAGUUUCCAAUGACUGUACCAGUAAGUCUUCUUCCACUCCCCAAACCUCUGGCAUUUCAUACAGUUUGCCUCUUGUUUCACUUUUGCCUUAACAUUCAUUGCUGGAUCUCUCAAGUCAAAACACUUUGAUGCUCUGAGCUCGUCCUUCUGAUAUCCUGCAUCACAGUCAUCCCCAUGGUGCCUCCAGCUUUGCCCGACAUAUGUAGCUUCUUGCUCUCCUAGUUGUAGUGAGCAUGCUUGGGGUCCUGGAGAGAGGAAACUGCCUAUCUCUGCUGCUUGUUCCCAGCUCACCUGCAGGUAAGAGCUAUAGAACAGCCCCAAAAAAGGAGAAAUCUGCUCCUUUUGACACCUCUGGAAAAGACUCUUGAAGUGAUUUCAUACUUCAAUGCAAAGUAGUAAAUGUAAUCUUGUAAGUAUGCUUUUUACACUGUGUGCUCACACCCACUGGAUCAGGCUUCUCAACCAAGAGAGACAGAGAAUAUGCCCUUUAGCAAACAUGAUCAUGCUUAUAAAUUAGAUUGACUUUGAAUUCUCAGUCCAUGUCAGCACUAGGGGUGCACACAACUACAGUUUCAGUUUUCCAUGGAAACCAGGUUAAAAAAAAGGAAGCUGUAUAAAACGUUAAUGUACUCUUCAUUCUUGGACCCAAAUAUACAUGCCUAUGAAUGUCUAUUUCUGAGCAAGUUCCAGUUCCCAGCCAGAAGUCGUUGGUUCUAGAGUUAUAAUGUGACCGAAAACUUAGACUUAGUUUUGUUUGGUAUUUGUAAGACUGGAUUUUUGGAAUUGCCAAGCAUUUCUUUCCAAUUUUACUUUUUUUUUCCCUUAGUCAGUGGAAUUUAAUGAAGAUGUAUCCAAAAGCAGAAUUUUAACUGCCCUGUAAUUAUUCUGACAUAGUAGCAAGAAACUUGAUUUUAUUGUAUGGUUCCAUUUGUAAUUACAAUAUAAUUAUUCAUGUGUAAAUCAGAAAUAAGUGUAUUUUAAUUGUAAGUUGGUUUGGGAAUUUAAAAUGAAUCUUUUGGUGCUGUGUGAGGUAUAUACUGAAACACUAAUUCUGAAUAUUUCAGAACUCAAUAGGAAUAGAUAUGUAAUUUGAGUAUAUGGAGCAGUGUAGAGGGGUUUUUUUAGAGUUAAGUAACUACACAGUAACAAACAUGUACAGUAUCUACUAAUCACAUUCUGAAUUUCUUAAAGAAUAAUUAGUGGCAUUUUCUACUUUGUAAAGUAUUUAUUUUCAUCCUUAUGUUUUCCCUGUCCUUGUAUCUAUUCUUGAUGACAAUUUCAUAUUUGAGGGUUAUUUUAGGUAAAGGAAGUGAAUUGCCUGAACUUUCAGGUUAUUAUUUGAAAAUAAUUGCAAGAAAAUAACAAUAAAUAUUAAGCUUUUGUAUGCAACACCUUCAGCUAGGCUAUACAUACCUUCCUCUACUAUCAAAGUCCUGUCCAGGUUGAUUUCUGAUGAGUUAAAUCUGUGUCCAGGAUCUCCAGACCGUUUAUCUGAGGAUGACCUUAGAAAGGGGAGGGCUCACCUGGAGGCAGAAGUUGAUGAGAAUAUACUGACUCAUGACAGUCAACUGGGGGAUAAUAAAUGGGAAAUAAAUGAACGGCACCAUUUGGGAGAUGGGAACCAGGGUGAGAACACUGAGCUGAGGGUCUGAAGCUCAGAGGUUGCAGGAGAGGAAACAGAAAUGGGGAAUAGAGGGAAAUUUAAGGUCUAGGGAAAUACUUGAUAAAGGGUUUGGAGAAGAAUGGUGGCAGAUGGGAGAGUUUGCAUUCAAAAAGGAGUAGGAAGGCCUUAUUUCUCUUGUUUUGGGGUUGCAAGGACUGAUUCUGUAGGAAAAAAAGAGAUUGGGUUGGUAAAAUGUAUGGAAAAAUAAUUGUCAAAGAUGAAGUAAAUAUAAGCAAGGAGAGCUGGGAAGGAAGAUGAGUAGCUUUGGUACGGGAGUUUGUAAUGGCAGAGACCUUGGGAAAGGCCAAUGUGGGAGGGGUCACUUGACACAAAAUGUGUUUGGAGGAGUUUUUAGGCAGGAGGGACUGGGGGAUUUGAGACCUGGGACAGAAGGGCCUAAGGAUAGUAGGGUGUGAGGGGCAGGUUAGGGUUACCAGUCUGGUAAAUAUUAUUAUCUGGGCCCUGACAAAUAUUUUUAUCUGGUCCUGAUGUUAGAGCAAAGGCAUGUACACAGAAAACUGCCUCCCUGUUCCUGUGCUAAGAACAGCCCUUCCCUUAUUUUCUGUUUGUAGCAAUUGCAGUAGGCUUGUUUGGACUAAAUAACCCAGAGAAUAGUCAUGUAGUCAUGAAGGAUAUGAAUUCUGAGUGAUCCAGGGAAUUAUUGUGCAUUAUGAAAAUUCACUACAUGAAUGUUGAUUUGAGAGACUGAAACUUAAUGUUUCUGAACUUGUUUCACACCAUAAGUGUGCCUAAUAAAUCCAAGUUUAAAACCAGACACUCUUCCACACAAUGACAUACAUCACUUUCAUAUUAGCUGUUUCCUUAAAUAUCUCUGUAGGAAACUGGUCCUAAAUCCUUCUGUGAGAUCCAAGAUCCUUCAGUAGAUGGCCAGGUAAUCCUUCUCUCCAUAUGCUGUGAGCACUGAAUUUGCGUAAGUUUAUAGCAGCACCCAUCAGUGUUCUAUGGUAGCUUUAGUCUGCUUUUCUUUUUGGAUAGGGCAACACUGAGCACACUUGAAAUCCUGUCCAUAAUGCACGGUUAUUUACAAACCACUUGAUACAGAAGUCACAGCACAUAUUUGUGCUGGCUAACAAUCCUUCGUCAAUGAUGGAUGAAGAUCAGGUGUCAUUUCUGAUUCUUUUGGAUGUGUCAGCUGCCUCCAGUACUAUUGACCAUGAACUGACCUGCACUCUGUCAGUCUGGAAGCAAGGGCAAAUGGGAUGAGUUGUGAAGCUCAGAGUCAUGCACAGCUUUGAGCCCUGAAGCAGCCUGUCAGUGGACUGAGGAAGGGAUCUCUUCUGUGUUUAAAAAAAACUCAGCUGAUUCUUUAUUUCACAGUGGGUUUUUUUUAAUAUGUUUGCCUAUUAGCAACUUGAUUAUACAGCUUUAGCAUUUAUCUAGGUCUCUGCUUGCUUGUAUCAUAAAUGUUAAUAAAUGUUGUAAGCUUUUAUGAAAUGUUUUCUACUAAUGUUUUCCCUCACAGUCUUUUGCCUUUAGCUCAAGCUUCCUCCAACUGCUUCAAAAAAUAGAUGAAAAAAGCUGUACUGCAUAUAGCAUGCUCAGAAAUGUCACCCACCCCCUUACCUUCCCCCAACAAGCAGCCAAACAAGCUUGUCUCUGUUGAACUUGGGGGUAUGAGGCAGGUUUUAUAAUUAAAGAUGGAGACAAUUCUGCUAGAUAACUCCUCUUGUUGGCUCCACUGCCUGCAUCUCUGCUAUUCUAAGCUGUGAGAUGUUGCAGCAUACUAAUUUCCUCCAUUCAGUCAGAAUUUGGGUUAUACACAGCUCCAGGGAUCUCUUUCAUACUAGAUAUUCCAAUUGAAAUGACAGGGGAAGAGAGAAGGGAAGGCUAUACUUUUCUAUCUUCAUUUCUUUAUUCUGUGUGGGGCAGCAGAGAUAUUACCUCAAGUUGCUUCCAGGUUGAAGACCCAAAAUCAACAGUCUGAAGUUCACCUGGAACCAGUUGCUAACCACUCAGAUGUGGGUUUGUGCACUGCCAGUGUGUAUAGCUCUGCUCAGGAAACCUGUGUGAGCCAUCAGUCAGAGCCAGUAGGUGAGUUCAGUAUCUAGGGACAUAUAGAGAACUCUGCAUCCCAAGGUGAAAAAGUAAUGAGUGGCAUCAACACACAGUCUGAAGGGAGCCAACUUCUUGGUCCAACUCCUAUGGCAAAGCAAGUUAUGCCAUGUCAGCUCAACUGUGGGAGGAGUCUGUGUUUAAACUACUAGCCAGGUGCAAAUAUGAGAUAGAUACAAACUUCUCCACCCUGUAUUUACUGCCCUCAGAUAUACAAUUAGUCAGAGAGGCAGGUAAUUAGGUGGAGAUACAAUUAAAUCGUUAAUAGCAAAUGCAAAUCAGUGCAACACGGGCAUCUUGGCUGAGCACUGUGAAGACAGGAAGUUUUGCCUUUUACAAAGAGGCACAGUAGAGGGAUUUUCUUUUUCUUUUAAAGAUCCAGUUACAUGUCAGCGUAACUCUAUGGUUAGAUGUGGCCUAUGAAAUCCUACUUUAGUAAGACACAGUUAAAUAUGUGUCCUUCACCAAGGGAAAUAAGCUGUUCCCUCAUGAAUUGCAUACAUUAUAUUAAUUUCUCUAGUCCUUUGCUGAAGAGAGAAAAAUGAACAAAUAAUAAGGUAGUUAAUUACAAAAUUCUGACAUUUGUCCACUUGUUGUUGCUGUUUUUGGCCCCUCUUCAGCCAAAGAAAGAUGCGAGCGCUGGAAAGCAGAUGAAUUUCCCUGGGGGACCUAAACUAGUGCUGUGCCACAGCCAACAGCUUCAGCCAUUUGGACAAAGUGCUAUGUUGUGUCUUCCAGAAACUUUUCCCAGGCCUUCAUAAUAUUUGAUGAUUAGACCAGGAUUGUUUACUGUAGGGUGGCAGCCACACUCAGUACAAGCUUGUUGCUUUAUUCUGCACUGGCUCAAUCUGUUUGUGCAACACUUUACAUGUGGUGAUAAAGUCAGUGAAACAUUGGCCAUGGUGUAGUGUUAUUUACCAAACUAAUAAUGUCUCUGUUUUGCUCUUUCCAAAGUACUGAGGAUAGAUGGAUUUCAACCGCCUUGUAGUUUAAAAGCAAGAAAAUUACUAUGUGUAAUCAAUUACUACUAUCUGGCCUCAAAUCUGCUUUGUAAAUCUUAUAAAUCUCCACCCCAGUCUUUGUUCAUCACCAUCCCCAGUCUUCUCCUCCAUCAGCUGUUAGUCAGCACUUCUCUGUUUCUUCUUUAAGUUAUCUACCCAAUGUGCCAGAGGCAGGUGCAGGAGACGAGCACAGCUGCCCAUGAUUGUUUUAACAUCAGUGCUGUGUUUUCCAGUUGUAAAGUAUUUCCAAAGUUUGUUUUCCUCGAUGAAAUGAAAACAACAAAAAAAAACCAAACCUGUUUGUAUUCCCAUGAACUAGUACCCAACUAUUUUUAAACCUAACUUUCACUUAUGGUUUUCAUCUUAAGGCUUCAGUUAACUGUGUUGCUUUGUUUUAGUUUUGUUUUUCAUUGUUCUAUAAUCCUCUGUGGUUUGGUACAACAGGGAUUGAGUUUCAUUUGCGCAGCAAGUUAUACAGGGAGUAUUACCACAGCAACUAAGAUCCUGAUUUAUAAGACAAAACAGAGCUGCCCCCUCUAUUCAGACAAGAUUUACAGGUAUUUUGCUAAUCAUACAUCCAGAGUUGCUUUGAUUUCCAAAUGAAGUGCUGCCUAUACUAUUAAUAGGGCUGUCACCUUGACUUGUGUAAACUCACCCAGCUGUUUUAUGUCAACGAAGUGUUGGCUUUUCAAUUUCAAAGUUUCCUGCUCUCAUCUUCAUUUGCUCUGAGCAAAAGCACUACCCUAGAAAUUAUUACAUUAAAUGUAAUUGCACCUCAGUCUGGCAGGAUCAGUAUAACUGUCCCUUUGAUUUUGUUCUUUGGGUAACAGCCAGGUAGUACUUUUUCCCUGAGAAAGGAUUUUGCCAUUAAGGAUAUAAGGAUGUUGUUCUGGCAUGAGCUUUUAUCGUCACUUUGCCUUUUUUUUUUUUCUGUUGGUUGGGUGCUUUGUUUGGGUUUGUGUGUGUGUGUAUUUUUUUUUAAUGUCUAAUGUAUGGUAUUCCAUGUUACUAUAUAGCCAGGCAAGAAAAAAAUCCCCUCCACAACACCAACAUAAGUCUAAGAUGACAGGUUGAAGCCCUGAUCAGUUUCAAAUUUUCUGUCAUGCAAAUCAGUCCACACAGUCUCUGUCUUAGCUCCUGAACUGCAAAACAAUGCUUAUUACAGUGCUACUUCUUCUACUCCAUGCCCUUGUAUGCCAUUUUCAGGCUAUGAAAUCUUCAGUUACCCUUCCCUAGUGCAACCAUGGCAAGGGCUUGAAUGAUAUCAGUGUUGGUGCUGGGAGCUUAUGUGGAUAUCCCUAUCACAGCAGGAAAAUUAGCCCAUACCAUGUCUUGAUUAAGCUGUGUGCAAAUCCAGGAGAUGUUAGACAGUUGUGUUGGUGGGUUGUUCUUGUUUAAGAAGUUGUUGUUGUCUUGUUUAAGAAGUUGUUGCCAUAUUCUCCAGGGAAUACGUGGUGAGCACGCUGAUGUGGCAUUAGCAGUAAUACAUCCUGAAGCUUGAAACACCAUGGGGAACUUAAAAAAUCCCCUCAUAUCAGAAGUGCCAAACGCUUUCUUAAAUAAAGACUACAUUCUGGCCUCACAUGCACAAAACCUAUUUCUAGCCCUCAAAGAUGAUGAAAGUCACAAAGACUUCACCCUUUUAACUGGAAUAAAAAAUUCUAGGAGUUCAUUGGGAUGAACCCUUCCAACUCAGGACAUUCUAACCUCUCAACUCCAAAACUUUCUUCUGGUUUGAGGCACUUCUCAUUAAAAAAGUAGCAAGAAGGAUUACAAAAGUAAACUCCUCUGUAAAGACUGUAAAAACAAUGCCCCAGUUGCAAAUGAGUUGCAAAUAUUGCAUUUGCAAUAUAAGCAAAAUUCAGCUCAUAGCAAAGACAUGCUAUGAGACUGCACCAGCUGAGAGCAUGCAGGAUGGCUACAGGCAGACUAAAGGUGUUUGGGGUGAAAAGUCCCUGCCCUUGAACUCACAGAGUAUUGCAUUUUCUACGUCUACGGGAAAAGGAGAGAUUGUGCCAUUCAUGAUCUACCUUACCAUCAUAAGAACACCUAGUCCAGUUUGACUAAUGAUAGGCUCUAUGUUAUGAGUAUCCUAUGUAAAUAUAGGCGUGAACUUCAUCAAGUCCAGACUUAUCUCAUGUGUAGGAUGGUGAGCAUAGACUUAGGAAAUGUGAAGUGAGAGCCAAGCAUGUAUAGACCUGCUCUGUACACAGAUCAGGGUGCUGUGUCAGCUCAGCCUUGAUUGUACUGCCCCUGUGCCUUUGUGUUGGUGUCAUGUCAUGAUGGAGAGGUGAUUCCUGGAACAAGAGUCCUGGGUCUUCUAUCAUGUAGACAAUUAACUUUUCUUGUCCUUGUGUUGAGAGUGCUUAUCUGUGGUCUGAGCCAGAUAUUUUCCAGACACACAGACUGGAGAGUGCACUGGCUUGUUGAUGGCCAGGGUAGUGAACAUGGCUUUCUGGUAUGAGAAUCAUAACACUGAUUGAUAAAACCUGGGUGAACAUUUUCUAUGGGUCAGUUACAAUGCCUUUGAAAUUAGAGGCUGGACCUGUAUUCAAAACACACAUACGUGGACACCACUUUGUUGAGAGUAAAGCUGUUUAAAAGGAGCCAAGAGUGAUUUGUUUGGUUUUUUUUUUAUUGCCGUUUGAAUUUUUAAAAUCCUUACUGGGUCUUCCUAUGCAACAGAAGUCUUAUAACUGAAGUGACAUAACAACAAUAAAGAGCCUAAGAAAAGAAAGGACUGUUAGCACCAAGGCUAAGAGUAAAAUUCUAUAAUAUGAUUUUUUUUGUUUGCUCAUUUGUUAGAUAACAUAUCUGUAAUCCUCAGCUUGCUGAUAACUUAGACCAGAGUCAUGAAUUCUCUUUAAAACCAGUGCAUUUUAGUUAAAGAACCUCUUAAUGUCCAACACAGUGGUAUUUCCAAGAACAGAUCAGGUGAGUUUCUGUGUUAAUUUACUAUUCUCAGUCCACCAAAGGCCAGUCACUGAUUAAACACGCACAGAGGACUAAUCAAUAAAGAGCCAUAACUUUGAUCUAAUUGGUGCUGAUUCUGAUUACAUAAGUUAAUACUCUUAAUGAAACAUGGUUCUCUUGACUUUUCAGUUUGAAAUCCUGUGUUUGAAAUGGUUGCUUAUUAAAAACAUUAUGAAAUAGCAACAAGAAGUUGCUCUUAUUUACUUGUUUCAAACGCUGCAAUAGCAUGCUCUUCUUAACUGGUGUAAGUUUUUGUUUAGAGCUUUUUACAUGUGACCCAGAAAUUAUGCUUUGAUCUUUCUGUAAAUAGUAAAUGGCAUGAUUUCCUAAAGAUACAGUUUACAUCUAUUUUGUAAUGUUAAAGAGGGCAAGUUGGUGCCCCAGUGUCACAAGACAGGAUUGCUGAAUUCUCUGGUGCCAACUUCCAGCUUCAGCUGAUGUAAGAGGAAGCAAAGAAGAGCCAGCACUGGGCAUCUGUGUGCUGUCAAUCUGCUUUGACGCCGUCUCAUAGAUGUGUAUUUUGUUUUCUUGCUGUGCAGUCGAGCAUACCUGUCCACUAGUACUGAACACUUUCUGAUUUCAGCUGUUUAAAUGGUUUUUAAAAAUGGGAAGUCAGCCCUCACCCACUCCCCACCGUAGCUCUAAGUGCUCCUGCAUUGAGAAGUGUAUCAGUUACCUCUUUAUAGUCUUUGUAAAUAUCAGUUGAAACAAAUGAAUCCUUCACUGGUUUCAAGCUAUCUGCUGUAAAGGAUGCGAAGUUGUCCCAGGGUCUCUUUGAUGAUGUCUGCUGUGGAGAGCUGAAAUGUCAUUGAAUUAGAGGAUGGAAACAGAAAUUCACCCUUCCUAGCCAGGAAUAAUUUUAGUUUGUGUUGACAGACUUUAUACCUUGCUAAUCCUUUCCUUCUAGUAUUCCUGUAGUUUGGGAUGGGUUAAAUUGUUCUCCAUUAAAAAAUAAAAAAAAAUAUAAGACCAAUGUCAACACCUUUCUAUAUACAUCUCAUUUCUCUCUUCUCCUGCUUGGUACAUGCCGUAGUUGUGAACAGAUAUAGAUGGCUUUAGCUAUGUGAGUCAGUGUACAAGGUACAGCUGUAUUAAGCUUUCUCUUGCCCUCCAGAUCUAAUCUCUGUCUCACAUAGAUCAGAGUCAUGGUUGAAGCAUACCAAAACUCCUUGUUGGAUUUUGUGUCCACUAAACAAAAAAUAACCUGUGAGUAUGGACAGGAGGGAGAAAGGCGGAGGACGAAGUUGUUUAAGUUGAUUGAAGUUCCUGCUUUAACUACUGCCAAUAUAUUUUUUCCUGGUGACUCUCACCUGAAAAAUGGUGCCAGAGAAGAUCUCAGGAAACUUAGAGAAGAUGUUUUCCCCUCUAGUCCCUCUCAGCUGAUAGGUAACCUAGCUGUAGCAAGAAGGACAUGGGACAGUUUAACAGAAAUGCCUGAGGAGUGCUUACUGUUAUUGCAGGCACACCCUGCUAUCUAUGAAUGGUAUACUUCUGAGGUAUGUAUCAUGGCUAGUGGGUCAUGAAAAGCACACAAGUUAAAUACACAGGGGCAGGGUAUGCUAUAGGGACAGAGAGGCAGAAGCAAGAUCUUUGGGCUGAUCAAUCAGCCGAAAGCAAAGCUGACUUCUCAUUAGCUGAGUUUCUGGCAGAUGAGGAUGCUGAUUAAAAUGUUGAUUUGCAUUUUAAAACAAAACUUGAGGUACAAUCUAUGUACUGGCCUGAAAUUUUGAGUAAUACCUCACUUUACGAGGUGAGAAUGAAUCUUGUGGUGCCAUGGUGCCUCUUCCAGUACUUGGAGCAGGCCACCACUCUGCAAAAGCUAAUCACUUCACAAAAAUGGAAUGCUUAACACAAAUCUUCUAGUGCACAUGUUCUUGGUGCCUCUUUAUGAGUUGUCAUAUUUUCAUCCUAAUCGUCACCAAUUAUCAUCAAGGUCAAUUAAAUCAAUCAAAGGUGAAGAGCAGAAAAGUGAGAUAGUGGCAACAGUUAGCAGAGUGGUUAGUAAACACUAAAUGCUUUAUGACAAAUCUCAAAAAUGAUGAGUAAGGUACACAAAACCACAGUAAGUGUUUUAUGGUUAUCAAUUGUGCAAACAUUAUGUUUGGUUUUUUUUUUAAUAAGGGGUUAAUAUCAGUCCUCUUACUAGUCCUUCUCACCCUUAGAUGUAUCAAAGAUCACCAGCUUCAUUACUCCAAUAAUCUGUUUUCUGUCUUUACAUUUCCACAAUUACAUUCAAAUUUCCAUGUGAAAUGUAAGACACUAAGAUUUAUCUAUAUAAAAAUUUAUAAGGCCUUCAUUCUCCAUCAGCAGUUUCCUAUUUUGUUCUUAGAUAUUCACACAACAUCUGAAAGCCUUGCAAACAUUAAUGAAUUUAUGCUAUAACCUCCUGGAGAAUUAAAAGAGAAAAGUUAUCUCCAUUUUACAGCUGGAAAAUGGAGUCAGAAAGAUUUUUUUAUGUGCCUGAGGUCUCUCACUGGAUUUUUCAAACUCUGUGUAUAAAGCACAAGACUUUCUUAGCCUCUGAUUUUCUUUGCUUUGGGGAUUCUAGCUUAUUUAAAUUCUAGCCUCUUGAACACUUUUCUCUAGGCCAGAUCCAUGCAAAAACAAUUAUUAACCUCAGCAAAUAUCUGGAAAACCACUUGACCAGAAGAAAGCUAGAGUUUUUAUUGCAUGUUCACUGUCUACUGUAGCUUGCAAGGCAACAGAAAGCAAGCAGAAAACAAACCCUGAAUGUUCUCCAAAAUUCUUUGAAAAUAUAAGCUCAUAGAGAUUUGGAUUUAAUAGAUUUUCUCAUCCUAAUUUUGCCAGGGAUAGAUGUACUAGAAGCUCUUCUAACUGAACUUAUGUUGUUGUUUACACUAUUCAGGUUAUUAGCAUUUUGGCACUUUUUUUUCCUGAAGCUCUCUCCUGCAUAAUUAACCUUGAGUUUUAUAUGGACUACUUUUAUAUAUGGGUUUCAUUUUAUGAGGGCUGGAUUACAUUGUCAUGAUGCCUUGCCUUCUGCAUUGAAUCUACACACCUCAUAAGUCCCCGUUGAUUUAAACACUUCAGAAAAAUGCAACUGGUUGGUUUGUCUAUUUUGUAAGAAGGACAGGAACAGCCAGAUUUGCUGUGCUACUGAAAGGAGUUAAUAUCUGGUAAGCUACAUUGUGCAGUAUUCUAUGCUGCUUCCAGCUCCCAGCCCUCUUGCUAAAGGUUAGUCGCUUGUGCUAUACUUACACAUAACUAUCGUUUGGUAACUCUUUUAUUUGUUUUCCAAUGAUUUAUAUCAAGUUUAGGUGUUUUUUUUGUUUGUUUUGUUUUUUGUUUGUUUGUUUGUUUGUUUGUUUUGUUUUUCUUGGUAAACUGGGGAUGUAACUAUUCCAUAACAUUUACCUUGCAUAAACCUAGUACACUGCAGUUAUACCAUUGUAUGGGUAUUGAUACAAAAGUAGUUUAUUCUCCAUAAGCAGAACAUGCUUGUGAGGAAACCUGGGUAGUAGGACCUUUAUAAUAUGGAAAUCUGCAUUCUGAUGGAACCAGCACAUCUUAUUCCUGAACACACUGAGAGCCAACAGAGUCAGAGGGAUGGAGUAAAACGAAUCAAGAACAAUGAAGUUAUUGGGAAGUUUCUUGAUUCAGGAAGGAGAUCAAUACACACUGCUGUGGACCCUUUUCCAUGUCUCUUGGCUUAGAGAACCACAGGGAAUUGAAACUUUUGAUGGAGCCUUUGGCAGGAAAUCUGAGAGAAAAAAAACAUGGAGAAGUCUCCCUCCCAUAAAAUUGCUGCUCCAAGGAGUAUAUGUCUUAGAUUCUCUGUUACAUAUACCUAUUUCACAUUAUGGAACUACUCAUGACUUACUGGAUUUAUUACUGACUUCCUCAGAAAUAAGGAAAGUUAGUUUUGGGUUUAUUAUAUCUUGACAUGAAGCAGUCUGUCAGUGAUAAGGCUGAAGGACAGAGUUUAGGACUUCUGUAAUUUAUCCUAUAUUUUUUCCAAGCUUAUUCAAUAUAUAGGAUCUUGGACAUCCAGAAAGUGGAAAAUCUCACACAACACCAGUGUUGGUACUAUGUGAUAUCUCACUCUGAGCAACCUGAUCUGUCUUCAAAAUAGGUCCUGUUUUUAGCAGGGGUUUGGACCAAGAAUUGUUUGGUGACUCUGUGUUCCUGCUCCCUGCUCACUGUAAAGCUAUAACUAUGGAGAGCCAGGUCCAUGGCUUUCCAUAUGCCCAUGUUUCCCAGUGCUUUGAAUUCCAGAACUAUAUGCAGCACCAUUUUCCAGGUGAGGCUCUACACUGGUCGUGCUCUACACCCUGAGCAACAAGGUACUGUCAGUGGCAAUUUUUGCUCCCACCAGCAGUCAGAGAUGCUGCCAUCUUUACCACCAAAUCCUUGAGGUCUCAUACAAACCAUAAGUUAAUAAACCAAACCGCACCUGUAGUUCUUCAGUCUGGAGGCCACUGAUUACACAAUGUUUUGUUACGGACUCCCGGUUCUGGGAAAGGAUUUCAAGGCUGCCUGUCUUUCAUGAAGCCAAAUAAAGUCCUGGACAGAUUAUUAGUUCAGACAGGUCGUCACAUAAAAAGCAUGACACUAAUACUAGGCCAAAGACAGUUGUGGAAGCAGUACAGCUGUGUUUUUGUGGUGCUGAGUCAGCCAAUGCCCGCUGUACAGUUAAUCUGCUCAAGGAGAUGACUGUACAUCACAAAGAAGUGGAAGUUUCAGGUGCAUGCUGUUCAUUGACAUUUGCAGGAUUUGCAACUCCAGUAGCAGUCACUGGGUGAAAAUGAAGCAAUUUGCUUUAAUAAUGCAGAUGCCAAAAUAGUAAAAUAUACAGGACAAUUAUAUUGGGAAACUCUCAUCAUAAAUUUUAUUUAUUUUUCGUAUUGUGGCGUUGUUUGAACAGUGUAUUUCCCACAUUUGAGGAAGAUGAUAAACAGAGUAACUGAGCUGAAGCUAAAUAUUUCAUAAAUCCAUCUUUCAACAAGGUAAUAUGUCAUCAAUUCAGGCACUGGAACAAGUAACAUCGUUAAAUGUUAUGGCACACUUCAUCCAGUUCCUCCACAAAAUCAUUUUCUUAAUACUGUGGUUGUAAAGGAAGUUAGUAUCAAUCAGUCAAACAUAGACAUACACCAUUCUAAUUGUAUAUUUUGUCAAUAUCAUAAAACUGGUAUGCUUGAUGCCUUAGCAACUAUGUAUGCAAAGUAUAGCAGAAAUAUUUUGUCUUCCUUACAUAAGGAUAAUAUCGCCUAUUUCAUUCAUCUACAACUCAGACUACUCGUUGCCCUAAAAGUGAUGAGGAAGUCUGAGUAGAAUAUGCUAAAGAAGUGGAGAGGUAAGCCAGGGGAAGCAGAUGACAUCAUCCCACCGGGGACUGGACCUGGGUGAAAUAACUUCUUGAGUUUCCUACCAGACAGGAAGGUUCCACAAAACCACAGCAACACUUGGGAAUUGACACUGAUCUGAUUUUUUUUUUAUCUGAUGCUAAAGAAGAUGUGCAGAGAUACAAGUCAGCAUCCUGAACUUCAUGGAGAGUAGAAUUAGGAAGAAAAUAAUUGACAAUGUAAGUGAAAAGAGAAAAUACUACAGAAGUCUUUAUAUAAAAUAUAGUGUCCCUUUCUAGAAAUAAUUUGUGUCAUACUUUUAUGACUCACGUAAAUGUUUUUAAUGUUGACAUGUACUAAUGAUACUAUUACUAAAGCUGAAGAGAAGACCUAAUUUUCUUCUGAACUGUAGUCAGCCCAGAUGUUUCUAAUGAGUGUUGUGCUUUGUUAUAUCAUUAAUUAUUUAAAAAGUUUGUGAACAUAUCUGUUUCUCCAUUUACCCACUGAUUUAUUAAUUGCUCUAAGUAAUUUCCCUAUUACUGUUUGAGAAACUGUGGGAAUUGUCCUAAACAAAAUAAACCCUCUGAGUAAUCUUUCACAUUCUUUUGUGAGGAUUUAUGGGAUCUCUCCUAGGUGAAAAUGAACAUUUUCUGUAACCAUGGGCAGAGUAGGGCGAUGACUAAACCAGUUAAAGCACAGAUUUGAUCUGGCUUACAAUUAUCUGUAUGGUUUAACCAUUAAUACUGGAAGUAAAUAAGCCCCAAGGCAGAGUUUUGGUUCAUUUGCACUACCUGGGAUAGUACCCAGGAGCCCUUUGUGGGAUAACAUGGGCCAGAGACCAUUCCCUACAUGGGUAAGGCCCCACAGUUUAAUAGGAUGAGGGAUCCUAGCUGACCUGUUUGCUCUCAAGCUCACAAUGCAGAGCUCCCACUGCAUGCCUGGGCAAUGCACUGACUCAUGGCCAUGCUGCUGAAGCAGAAAGUCAGAUUGGAAGCUGCAAGGGUUAAACAGUACGGUUUGCUAAGCCACACCUGAGGGUGAGUCAGUCAGGAGAUGUCAGCAACAGUAAAUGAGUUGAUCACAGUCAAUCUCAGAUGCUUCUGAAUCAGUUGGGCACUCUCCUGUGCCAGCUCAGGGAUUGCAAUAUGUAUGAUGGGCAUAGAAUGGCAUUGCAUGAGCAAGUGGUUGUUCCAGGCAUAAUAGAGUCUCCUGUUAUAGACAGCUCCCAGUAUGUAAAAAGAGAGCUAGGAAGAGUCCUUAGCUCCUGAAAGUGUUGGUAGCUCUUAAUAAUCCUGUUCUGAGUGGGAUUUUCAAGACAACUGCUCUCUGGCACCUCCCUGUAGUUCCCAGAAGUCAUCUGCCACUCCCCUGCCUCAGCCUAGGGUUAACACCGAUCUUGUAUUUUCUCUCCAUCCUGCCCAAAAUAUUUCUUAAGGUUCCCUUUUUGUUGCCACAUGUAAAUCUAAAAAGAGUGCCUCAGAAUCAAUGUAAGUUUUUAAUGUAAAUACAGGGUCUGCACAUAGCAAAAGAGAGAGAAAAGUAGAAGAAAAGAAGAAAGGAAAGCAAGCAGGACCACGACUCCUCUCACUGCAAAACUUAAGAACAAUUCUCCUCACUUUACUCACAUGAGAAAGGGAAAUUCUCUCACACACCUACACCCUCUCGCAGUCUUUCUUCUAUCUGUUUUUCUGAUGCUCUCGGAGUCCUCUGUCUUUACUCAGUCAUCCUUGCCAUAAGUUUCUUUACAUUGUAAUAGGGUAAAUCUUCCAGAUUCUGAGGGACCCUUUUGCCAGAGGAACUCCUGGAUACACGCUCCUAUUUUAUGAAAUUGAGGGCUGCUAAAUUAACUGGGGACUGACUACAGAUAUGAUUCUUCGUUCAUAGCAGAAAUCCUGUUUUACCAACAGCUAUUUUUAAGGAAACCUAUUACAAUAUACAUGUAGUUGUACAUUCAUAUUCUUGUAUUUUAUUUUCUGUCAAAAAAGACUCCAAGUUCAAGAAUAUCAUGAUCUCUGUGUGUGUACCACAUUGGGAAUUUGAACCUUAGCCUACUCACCUGCUACCCUCCUUAGGGAUCCCAAAGAUAUAGGCACUAUUUAAAUCAAUUUUCCCAAACCAUUUUCAUUUUUCACUCUCUCUGUGCACAUGGCUCUUAGUCACAUGCAAAAGCCACACAUGUACCAGUCUGAAAUGAUGAGUCAAGGCCUGUUUUAUUGACAAGCAGAGAUGUCCUCGGUCACUCAAUUUCUGCUGGCAGCUCUUGUCAUCUGCAGCAUGCCAGUCAGUUGGACAGUCCUCAGAAGUUCUUUAACUUAUGACCAAGUAUAGAGAUAAGAAGAGGCAGGGUUGAGAAAAUUAGGAGAUGGGACCUACCUGUUUUGCAGAGGAGGGAGGCUGCCCAGAAGGACUAUUAUCUGACUUUCGGGUAGUAGCAGUGCUUAUGUUUGAAGUGUGUGUGAUUCUAUAACCCACUCCCCAAAUGAAGUCACAGCAGGGAUAAGACUCAAGGCACAUGCUGUGAGCAGCAGGAGAAGCAGCGUUACCCUAGCGUGUGCAUGGCCGAAUGCAACAACCCGCUUCAGUGAGGUGACCUGGACAGGACAGUGAGAUUUGCACCUGUGGACAGGUCUAACCUUCACUCGCCACACUGCACACCCUAGUUAUGGGUUGAAAAAAUGUUUUUGAGCUUUUCUUCUCCUCUGGUGUGGUACAUGCUUACUGGGUAAUGUCUGAUCUCUGUGGUAUCAUGACCUAUCUCGGGGUAAAUUUUGGCCUUUGGCUUGACAAAUCAUGACUGUUUUUUGAACUUUAUUACAAUAAAGUUACAUCAGCUCACCUACACUGGCUUCUUGCACUGUGCUAGGAAAAAGUUCAACAAGAGCUGAAACUAUCUCUCCAGCCUAGGUUUGAACUUGAUUUUAAAUACAAAUAUCUCUCCUUUUCAGCAUAGUCAGGAAAGACAGGGUCAUCUUUAUACCUGAUAUCUCAAGCAAAGCUGUGGAUAAAUAUCAAAGAUGUUAAGGAAAGGCAAACAUAUCCCUUUUAUGUUUGUGGGCAGCAUUAAUGACACAGGGUGAAAUUUAUCCUCUUAUCAAAGGUCAACACAAAGCUAGGCACUACUUCAAAGGUGCAUUGAUCCCAUAACUGGCUCCUGGCACUGAACUGGAUUUCACCAAAUUCCAAAACUUACAAGAACCAAUAGAUUUUAUUUAUCUGUGUAAAAAAUAAUGGAGUGUGUUCAGAUACAGGCACAUAUAAAAAUUCACACCAGCUAUUUUGAUUUUGCUGGGACAAUGUAUUGGUUUUUAUCUUGUGCUCACAUAUUUUGGACAGUUCUUUCUAGCCAGCUGUCCCUCCCUCCCACUUAAUCAGUCAAAACAUCCCUGCUCUUCAAAACUACAAAAUAUUUACUCAGACUUUGUGUUUACUAGGAAUAAGCUGACAGUCCAGAAACUGAGUAUUUAGUAGUGCACAUACUGCUUGGUUUGAAGGGGAAAGCAAGAGUGAAGGCUCUGUCAAAGCCAUUCUUUCAGAUCUUAGUGAAUAACUAACACAAUGUUUCCUACCACAUUCAGUCAAUGCUCAAAGAUACCAAAAAGGUCUUGCAGACAGGGAAAACAUGACAGGCAAGGAACAGGGCAGCAAAGCCAAUACAAGAGGAAGUUAAAAAGUUGUGCCUUUUCAUUAGUGAUCACAUGCAUAAAUGUGUCACUGCACAAGAGGCACGGGAUUUUUACAUUGGAAGUAUGAUCGUGCUGCAUGUGAACAUAUAGAUUGCAAAUACUGUAGAAGAAGAUAUGGCAUCUGCAUUUGGUACUUUUUUAUUUCUUUUGUAAUUUCUUUGGUGGCUGUAUUUGAGCAGGGUGUGCCAAUAUUUGCAGUCUGGGGAACAACAUCAGAACAUCUAGUAUUCCCGUCUACUAGUAAAAAUAACGAGAACACUUCAGUUAAUUCAGUGUACCUUCAUGUGUAUUAGUCACUGGUCCCUGUGCGCACUAAUUAUAGACUGCCUUGAUGAUGCAACUGCAGGGCACAAAACAAAGAUUUUACAAAAGUUGUUUUGGUAUAUCUUUUUUUCUUACUAGGCUAAUGGAGAAGCUGCUUUAGGCACACAUCCGUGAUUGAAUCUGUCCUGUUCUCAGAACGUGACUGUGAAAGUUAAUACGAUUACAGUGGCAUCAGCUGCGAUAGAUUAGGUGAUGCUUUGCUCAGUAUAGGUAAACCUACCUGAUAGCGUGUUCUUCUUUUAGUCCUGAGAAAAUCAGAUUUAUUUUUUUUUUUUGAUCUGCAGUAGUAAGAUAUGAAGAAUCUUUAUAUAACCGAGCUGCAUUUUUUUAACCUAAGUUGCUCUAAAUGUUUAACCAAGGGCAGCUAAAUCCUGUGUACUAUGGUUCACUGUACAAGUUAUAAUUUAUUAAACUGUUAUAUUCACAAGGUUAAGUCAGAAUUCCCAUGUUCAGUCAUGUACAUGAUUGCUUUGGGGUGUUCCAAUAGGUCAAACUCUGACAGUGUCAAGCAUAAUUAUCUCCUGAAUAUAUUCACAGCUUCUGCAAAAGCCAAUAUUUGGUUUUGCCUUAUUUGAAGAGUGUAUUCAUUAGUUUGCAACCCUAUGUGAGGCUUUCUAAGCUUCAGCUGAAUUACUAAAAUCUGCAAAAAACACAGAUUCCUUGAAGAUGUUAUGACAUACAGCACUUUGAAGAAAAAUUGUGUAUUUCCAUUAAAAAUUCAAGACAUACAGUUCAUUUUUGCACACUGAUGCAGCUAUCUGUAUGAGUUUGAGCCCAUGGUGGUAAAUACACAGUAAUGCACAUUAGCUUGUUUUUCUGAGUUAGUGGUUUUAUCCAUAUAUGAUAAAUUUAUAAUCACCCACUUUAUAAUUCAUUUGGAGUUUAUAAAAUGUGACUACUGAUGUUCUCCACCAGUGGAGUGGAUGGUUCCGAUAUAUCAGGUAUUAUCUAAUGUGAAAUAUCAAUAACAUAACUGAAGAAUUAAUACUACAAUAAGUGAGACAUCUGGAAACAGUAUGUUAACAAGCUGAAGGCCAAGGCACAUGGCUGAACGCAGUUGAGCUGCAGUAAGCUAACAAUUUGUCAUCUGUCUAUUGAGUCAACAUAACUGACCUUGCGUCUGCCCAGGCUCUGGAGAAAAGCGUAUUAAUGUAAAGCUCUUUGACUGACUUCUUGUCUGCCAAUUGAAGAAAUACUGUUUCUUUCCCAAACUUUAUUAAUUCAUUCUCUGCUAUAACAGUAAGCAUGUAUUAAUAAUUAUUAAUAAAUAAAUAACAUCUUUGUGCUGAAAUAGUUACUUGCUACCUGUGUAGUAGCUUGAUUCUGGCAGCUUGUGAUCUUUGUUCCUUUCACUGAGAGGCAACCACAGCUACUUUGAAGGAAGGCGUCUUUUGAGCUCAAGCUCCAGUUGAUACCACACACAAUGUUAUUUGUGAAAAAAAACGUAGCAAUCCUCCUUAUUUAUUUUUAGCCCAAACUGUUGUAUCAGUUCUGCUCAGUCUGCAUCUUUAAUUCUUUUAUAGAAAGGUGAUUUAAAAAAUAAAUUUAUCAAAACAAAAAGUCUGACAGAUAGACUAGAAAAUAAAUUAAGUUAAUAUAUAUUUUAAUAAAAUAAACAACAACAACGAAAACCAAACACAAAUAUAUAGGCAAAUAUUUAAAAAAAAUGCAUAGAAAUUUUCAGUAGAAUAAAGAUCUAGCACUGUAUGAAACUCUGAAAUGGCACUGGUAUAAGAAGAAAAGUCAGUUACAAAAGUCACAUAAACCUAUUUAUUUCAGAAUGCCAGUAAACACAGAUUAAUUUCUGGCUUCCAUCUAGCUGUUGACAUUCCUUAAGAAAACAAAAAGGAAAAAGUGAAUAAGGACCCUUUCCCUAUCACUAAAGGGUAGUGACAUCUGUAAAACAUGAGUAGACGCCUAUGAAAUAUCAUCAGAAUUAGGGUGUGUGAGGAUGGGGCAGGCCAGGAUGGGGCAGUGAGCAAGCAGGGAUCAGGUCGCUCCAGGGUUAGAAAUGUGCAGGGUGGGCUCAGCAGGGAGGAUGGGGAGCAACCCCAUGGGUGGGUGGGACACGCUUUCUGGGAGAGAUACUGGGAGCAGGGAGGAGCUGGUUUUACUGAACUAUGCAAAACUUCCUCCAGUGAAACCCCACAUAAACAUAUGAGGUAUGUUUGGCAUGUGGUCAGAAAUCUGAGUGAUCACAACUAAAUUUGUUUGGAAAGUAGAAAUCCAUUUGGCUUAAUAAAAUAGCUUGGAAAAUAUUUGACUUUUGAUUUGGGUUAAAAAGUAAAAUGAACAAUCCUCCCUCCUCCUGCUCCCAACAUUACAUGUAUUUUUUAUUUACUUCAGCAGAAAAAGAUUUCUUUAAAAAAAUAGUGUUUACUGGGAGUUCUGUCUUGCCAGUUGUCUGCCUGCCCAGAAAGUACUGCUCACUUUCCUCUUCCUUUCCAUAAGUGAAAUUAUUAGUCUUCGACUGGGGUUACUAGCAGUUAAAUGUGAAGUCUUUUUGUCCUUCUGCUCCUUUUUGCUGAUGCUGAGGGGGUUUCAUCAGCUUUGAGGCUUUCCCCAAAGGUUGAAAUACAGAGGGUUAUAACGUGGGUAGCUGUAGCUCUCUUCUCAGUAACAGAACAGAAAAAUGAAAAUAGCCACUGGAAAAUUCAGUUUUAUAGGACAGACAGUUUCUGUUUUGAUGAAAAUAACCUUGAUGAAAAAUUCCCAGCUAGCUCACCCCUCAAGUCCUCUCCAAAUAUGUCAGAUAUUCCAUUUAGAUAUUUACAUCUGAUAUCAUAUACCACAGCAGGAUGGAAGCUGACUCUCUGCAAAGUUUAGCUUUUACAUUAAAUUAUGUAUUUUAAUGCUAGAAUGCCCCUUGACUCAGUAGUAUAGUGAUGAUUCAAGAGCAGCAAAUUAUCAUGAAGGUAAUGUAGUAGUAACAUUUUGUGACAUUUGCCAUCUUAUUUUUGGUUACAUCAGGAAAGGACAAUAUAUCUAUGUUCUUCUGAGUAAUUGUUUUUUUUUUUUUUAAUUGCAUCUGAUGCUUCACUCAUUAGCCUCUGAGCUUCCUGAGAGGACAGAUAAGAAGUUUUUACAUUUUGUUUGGAAUUUAAAUAUGCUAGAUAUUCAAAUGGUAUACAGACACCCAGUCAUACAGGUGUGUGUGCUUGUGUGUCUUUACUUUUGUAUAAAAGAACUGCAAAUCUUUUCACAGAAAUUCCAGUCAAUGAAAUUUAUAUCAAAUAUUUGAACUUCUUCUAUUUUUCAAAACAUCCUUUCUACAAAUGCUGGAGUUCGGGUUUCAGAAUAAUUUAUUUUUAAACCUUGCUUUAGGUACAUGAAAUAGCUCUUCUCUCUGCUAGAAGGCUGGCCAAGAAGACUAUCUUACCCCUUCCUCUCCAAAAUACAUUACUAUGAUUAACAUAAAGAAUUUUUCUCUUCAAAUGUCAAAACAAUGUAUCUAAUAUUUUCCUCCCCUGUCUAUAACCUCUCUCUUCUCUAAUUUUUUACUGAGUUUACAAACUCAAUUUUAAUAGGGGAAAUUUUCAGUCAAAAACUGUAGUCUGUUCUUUUUUUAAAGAGAUAAUGUUCUCAAGGACAGAAGUCAGUAACAAAGGUUACAGAAACCAGGAGAGAAAAAGGGCUGAAGUGGAAACGGGAAAAUAAUCAAUAAAACAGUUAUCAACUAAGAAAGGGCACUGCAUGAAAGGAGAGUAGAGGUUCACUUCCCUUUGGGAUAAGGGAGAGUAAGAAGAGAAAAACAUGAACAUGAACAGGCCCAUAGGAGCCCAUAAAAUAAUUUGUGGUUAAAAGAGCCUAUGGCUCACAACUGAAGUAUCCGAAGGCUAAAAUUAGUAAUAGAGCAGAGACAUGACUGUGAGCAUAAUGCCAGCGAUGAACUGCAGCAAGAAGAGCAACUAAACCUCUGAAACACUAGAGAAGUGUUUUGCUUGGAUUUUUCUGUUUUGUCCUGGAGUGACAGAGCUUUUUUGAGUGAAAGAAUCAUCACAAUGAAUCAUCAGCAUAUACCAAGUCAACCAUGUGAGAGAGAUGGGAAACCAAGAGACAGACAGCUUGAUACUGAAAUGAUAAAUAGUCUUCUUCCUCCACUUUCAGUAUACUAUUCUCUCUAUCCUCAGAGUGGACUAACUUUCUUAGGUCUGUACUUUUUAGGAAGCAGUAGUGCUACUUUAGCCUUUAAUUCAGUGUCGCUUCAUGUACAUAGCACAAAUUUGGGUAGCAACAGAUCAAUAUUGUCAGUGUCUUGUCUUCCUUAUUAGAAGAUACUUUUGUCAGGAAGAUGAUGAUGCAAUUGAAGAAAUGUAUUCAUCAAAACACAGACACAUAUGAUUUAGAUAAAGGGAGGAGAAUUGGUUUUUUUCCUUAAAAAAACCAGCACAUCUGCUUACAUGCAGUGACUGGCCAAUAUACACAUAUCAUCCUAUAUAUUUGAAGAUAACAAUAAAGAUUUAUGAUCUAAUUCUGUAAGUCUGUGUCAGACUGCAAUAAAUUUAGAAACAAUUUGCUUUGAUAACUAACUGGAAAAUUAGUGUAAUUCUUAACAAGAAAGAGCAUGUUUAUAACAGAAACAUGCUGUGAUAAAAUACUGUAAGAACUAAAUAUCCUGGAAAGAAUUUUAAUUCUUAUAAAGAUAAGUAAUUGGUGGAAUGCUAAUUCUCUGUUUACUAGGAAUGACUGUGCACCUCAACUACAUACCAAAUGUCUUGAGGAGUCUGAUAGUAUUUUUACAGGAAAGCAUAUGAUUUUUUUUUCAGAUGUGUGAACAUAAUUUGUUAAGUAAAGACACAUAAGGAAAAAGAAUAUUAUGUUGUGAAACAUGGCCCCACAAUUUCAUAAAGAACUGUUAUGAUUAAAACACUGGAACAUGUCUAGCAGUGCUGGAGUCAUUGCAAUCAGAUAUUAGACAGGCGAAUAACUCUGCAAGAAGAAAAGGACGUCAAUAAUUUGGUGGUCAAUAAGUAUUUCCAGAAUUACAAAUGGAACUAUUUCAGUCUACAGUAAUAAUUUUUAAAAAGAAACUAAAAUGAAACAUUUCUGAGGGAUAUAAACCAGUUACACACUAAUGAUGUAGGAAAAAACAUCAUCUGAAUUUCAGAUAAAUCCAAAAGUUCAUAACAUGUAACUGGGUGAACGAAGGGUGGAACAAAAUAGCUGCUGAGUAACUAUCUCUUUUUCUCUUGUAUUAAAGAAGAGACCAAAACACAUGAGCUGUUAAACUGAUAAAUGAAAAAAAAAAAAAAAAAGAAAGGAAAAAGAAAAAGAAAAAGAAAAUAGUCACAGUUGGAAAACAGGAAAAGACUGUGGGGUUAGAUUACAUUUCCAGGAUGAUAAGCACAUAAUUCCUUUUUAUAUACAAUGAUACUAAUUUUCAUGGCAUUAGACAUAAUAUUUCUUAACUUUCAAAUAAUAUUACUGUUCGAUAAAAAAUGUAGUUUGACAUAAAAAUGAAUAGUUCAAGCAUGAUUGUGCAAAAGAUGGAAAUAUGAUUUCAGUAAAUUCGGAAUUUCAUUUCAGGGACUACCUUGUUUUGUUUCAAUGAUAGAUUUACGAGUUUCAAAAGCUGAUUUUGUUUUCCCAUUCGCUAUUCCAAUAAUGUACACUAUUACACAGAAUCACACAGAAUCGACUGGGUUGGAAAAGACCUCAGAGAUCAUCGAGUUCAACCCUUGGUCCAACUCUAGUCCGUUUACUAGAUCAUGGCACUAAAUGCCAUGUCCAAUCUCAGUUUAAAAACCUCCAGGGACGGCGAGUCCACUACCUCCCUGGGCAGGCCAUUCCAAUGCCUGACCACUCUCUCUGUAAAGAAUUUCUUUCUAAUAUCCAGCCUAACUUUCCCCUGGUAGAGUUUAAGCCCAUGCACCCUUGUCCUGUUGCUAACUGCCUGGGAAAAGAGACCAAUCCCCACCUGUCUAUAACUUCCCUUCAGGUAGUUAUAGAGUUAAACAUAAUUUUACAUAUUUUAUCAGAAGCUUUCAUUUGGGGGAGAAUUUCAUAGAAAUAUGACACUAAUUUUUACAGAAAUACAGGAAAAAACCCAGGAUUCCAUUGUUUACACUACUGGUGAGUUCUGUGAAUCUGGUAUAAACUUCUGGACGGUUAAAUAUGCUAAAAUUCUUCCAAAUAAAUCCAUUAACAUUUUUAUAAACUAUAGAUUGUCCCUAAUUACAAUUGUUCUCUUGCCAUUAAGUGAUCACACACUCUCCAUGAAGGCUUUGUCUUCUGUGUCAUGAAAAUGUUCAUUUUCCUGACAAACCAGAACAGGGAUAUGUACUAUUGGACUCAUCCAGUACAAAAUUACAGCAUUAACCACAUCACUCAGGGGCUUUUUGGUCUGCCAGUCCAUCCUGAGGAGCUCUAGGGGCUUUUUGAACUCACACAGUCCAUGCGUUGUGACA